rnacentral:rRNA from 1 species
UACGUAGGGGGCGAGCGUUGUCCGGAAUUAUUGGGCGUAAAGCGCGCGCAGGCGGCCGUUUAAGUCUUGUGUUUAAACGCGGGGCUCAACCCCGUGUCGCAUGGGAAACUGGGCGGCUUGAGUGCAGGAGAGGAAAGCGGAAUUCCACGUGUAGCGGUGAAAUGCGCAGAUAUUAGGAAGAACACCGGUGGCGAAGGCGGCUCUCUGGAACGGUACUGACGCUGAGGCUCGAAAGCUGGGGGAGCAAACAGG